AUAGCAACAUCAACCUUCCUAAGAUGAUAUUCAUCACCAUCACUUGAUGUGUCUUCUUGACAAAGAUGCUCCAUGCCACCAAGUUUUUCAACAGCAGCAUCUCUGUGCAAUCCACUCAAGGAAUCCACUGAAAUAUGGUGGGAAGGUCCAUCUCCAGAUCUAUCUGAUUGCAUUUUGUUGGCGUCGCCAGCACUCUCACUUUGAUUAUGCUGGAAGUCAGCAUUAACACCAGCAUUAUGACUAUCUCCAAGCUCCUUUGUAGCAACAAACUUGUCAUGACCAUUCUCUAAAGACCUGCAUUCGGCCAGCUCUCCUAUUUGGGAUUCUCUUUGCAUUUGGCAACUUCCUCUCUCUUUAACUCCAACCAAAAUAUGUUCAGCCUCAUGGACUUCGUCCACCAAAAUAUGCUGGGAAGGUCCAUCUCCAGACCUAUCUGAUUGCAUUCUGUUGGCAUUGCCAGCAUUCUCACAUUGAUUAUUCAAGAAGUCAGCACUAACACCAACAUUAUGACUAUUUCCAAGCUCCUUUGUAGCAACAAAAUUGUC
rnacentral:lncRNA from 1 species